rnacentral:misc_RNA from 1 species
UUCUUUAUGUUUAGAAAGAGGUGAAUAUAAAUUGAAAUAUUUAUAAUUUUUAAUCUCUCACUUUUUACCUCUUUACACCUCAAAUUGGGAUAUAAGAAAAAUUGAGAUUUGAGAGAUAAGAGAGGGAAAAAUUUAUCCGUACUUAUUUCCUAUACUACAUUUACUUACUUUCUUUCCAAACAGGAGUAAAAUAAUUAUUUACCCCUCCUUACUCUUAUUUACUCUUCUCUCACCCUCAUCCAAACAAACUCUUCAGCACUUUCAUCAAUGUAGUUUCUAUAAUAACCAGAACCAAGGAAUUACAAACAGAACAAUAAAAUUAAGAACAGAGAAUUCAGAAAUAAUGAAGGAAAUUUAAACAGAAUCAGCAAAUAUGUUGGAUUUGAGAAAAUAUUCUUUUUCAUGGAAAAAAAAUAUACAUGUACAUGAAGGGUGAACUUGCAAUUAAAUUCACCACUAAAGAGUAGCUUCUUGAUUUAAGCCUAUGAACUCAUUCCAAGAAUGACAGGGUAAUCAACUCUCUCAAGCACUCAAUUCUUAUCCUUUAAACCCUAAUUCUCUUCAUCCUCCUAAUCACCUUUUCCCUACAGCCAUCUCAGCCACAGGAAAUAUGGUUUAUUGUAUUCAAUUGCGCAUUUUAGCAGGUUACCAUAGGCAUGUCUGCAAUUAGAAUUCAUUGGUUAUGCUCUGAGGUAUAAUUCAAUCAACCCCUUCCAUAUUUUGGGUUGUAAUUGAUUUUGAACAUUAACUACAAUCCUCUACCAUAAACGAAUUGCCUGGAAUUUACCCAAAUCAUUGAAAUUUCUAGGCCACACCAAAAUGAUCAAAAGCAAAAGGAAAUCAAUUUCAUUCCACAAGGAAAAAAAAAACUACCGGAAAAAAAAUGUGGGCAUGGGGAUCAAAUCGAGAUCUAAAAACAUGCCAGUGCACCCAAUAACGACAUAUAAGAAUGCAAAGGAAAUGAAAGAAGAAAAAAGGUUGUGAAACCUUUCUUGGCCGGCGGUAUCCCAAAUCUGAGCCUUGACGACCUUAUCAUCAACGCGGAUGCUGCGAGUGGCGAACUCUACGCCAAUGGUGGAUUUGGAUUCAAGGCUGAAUUCAUUUCUGGUAAAACGAGACAAGAGGUUGGAUUUGCCAACGCCAGAGUCUCCAAUCAAGACUACCUUAAACAAGUAAUCGUAAUCAUCGUCCGCUCUGUAUGCUCCCAUUUGGUAAUGGCUCUCUUCCGAUUUUCUUCUUUUGCUUUUUCGUCUCUUAGAAUUAUUAUUAUUAUUAAUAUUAAUUAAUUUAUUUUUUUCUUGAAUUGAAGGCUGAGAAUGGUGGAAUCUUGGAUUUAAGCAAAAUUAACGGAUUCAGGGAGCAAGGUUUCUUGAAAUACCA